rnacentral:lncRNA from 1 species
CCACCCCCAAAUCACUUACUAUUGUCCGAAAAAGGUAAUUUAACCCCAGACAUUCAUCUCCGUCCUCGUACAGAGUCUUAACACCGCCGGAGCCACCACUGGCGGUGAACGCUGCCAUGUCCAAAUCCCACUAAAAUAACACCCCAACUUCUCCUUCUCAUCCUCUUUCCAGAUAUACCAGCCUUUUCUUCAAAAUCCCUCCCUAUCUCGUCGAAUAAUGGUUCAAAGUUUUUCGGCCACAACUCAAUCUUGUCCAAAUCCAUACAAAUCAACACCAUAGAAGCGCCUCACUACCCUCAUCCCAAACUGCUAAUUGGUUACCCUCAAAUAUGCCCGAAAUUGGUUGAAUAUCAAAUUGAAGUUUCUCUAGUCAAAACCCAAGUCGCCCCAAUUAGCCUCAAAAUAGUAGCAGACAUUCCUGGGGCCUUCCCCAUGACGAAUCCAAGACCAAUUACAUUCAAUUUACAUUAGAGCUGUUCAAAUUUGUAUGUGAAGGCUGACCAGACUUUGUUUAGUAAGUUGGCUCCCUUCCUUUCCCUUUCAGUUUCAAUUAUUCAUCCAUCUCUGUUUUUCUUGCUAGCAUGCAAUUUUAAUUAAAGUGUUAAAAUUAUUUCGACAAUAAUUAGUUUGCACAAUUAGUUUAAUUUGGUAGUUUCUUGUUUAGCUUGACUUCUGUCUUUAAUUCUGUUAGAAUAAUAAUUGAUAACGGUUUAUUUCUAAUUGUUGAUUGAGUUGGUCAAUAAUCGAACAAAAUUAUGUAAUUAGUGCAUGCUUCAGUUAAAUAACUGGUUAGUUUGUCCAUGUUUAGUUCGGUUGUUUAGAGCACAAUUAGUUAAUAAAAUGUUAGUUUGGGGUUUUCAUUUGAGGAUUGAAUGAGAGAUUCUAGCUAGAAUACCCUAGGAGCUUCUAGAUGGGGGGUUCUAAGUAAUUUGCAAAGAAUAACAGUAGUUAUUUGUGUGCCAAGUUAAUAAUUAAUGGGUAUAAACUAAUUAGAGGAGGGGACUAAAAGGAAAAUGAAAAUCUUCUUGGUUGCCUAUAAAAGAGCAUGACAAUUGACAUGUUAAGGGUCUUUUUCUUUUCAGCUGAAGAUAUAUCCAGAAUUUCCUCUCUCUGAUUUUCAGAUCUGAAGCUUGAAUUCCAGCCUCCAAAAUUCAAAAAAAAAAAAUUAACAGAGAAAAUCAAAAAAAAAAAAAAAAGUAGUUACUAUUUCAUUGGUCAUUUGGGUUGAAUUUAAUUUUGGUGAUUAAUUUCAAGUUCUGGUUCCAUACUUGGUAGCUGAGCACUAAUUUCUAGUGUGAUUGAACCGUGUGGGUUGAAUUUAGAUAGCUCAUGGUUUGCUUUGGUCCUUUACUGCUUUAUCCUCGGUAGAACUAGUAGCUGUUGGUUGGAAUAUCAAUAUCUGGGUCAAAAAUCGAUUCAAAGUCACCUUUAAUUGCUGACUGAGCUACUGCUUUGCUGCUAAAAUCUCCUCCUCUUAUUUUUUAUCUACAUUUCGAUGUGCAUUUCCUUUAUCUUCUUGAGUUGGAAUCUUGCUUCAUAUAUGUAUGAUAAGUUGGUAGAUCAAGGAAGAAAAUUGUUGUUUGCGCGUUUGAGUUCACAUAGGAUUGUUGUUAAACUUUCAAUAUUCAUGCCUACCUAUUUGAUGCCUAAUUGUAAUUAUGAAUAACUCAGGACUGUAUACCCUGUUAUGAACUAUUUGGAAAGUGUUCUAGCAUUAUGUGAGUCAUUAUUAGAUUUGUGAGAUUCUGGAGGAGCAAGCUGUCUUUAAUCUUCUAUCACUUAGUUUCCUUAUAUGAAUAAUCGUUGUAGAGUUAAUGUGUAUGUGAAUUUAAAGUAGUAUCGAUUAGAAGGCUCAUGUGUAUUGAAUCUGCCAGUUAAAACUCGUUAAUUUGGUUAGUUGUAAGGGUGUAAUUUGGUCAAUACUAAUUCCUAGGUUUUGCCACAAUUUGUGUGUGCCAGUUGUGAUUCGAAUUGUAUCCGUGAGCUAGACCUUGAGAUUGGGGAUCUCCUAAUUGAUUAGGCUAUGAAUUUGGCCCAGUGCACGUUUUAAAACACUGUUGCCCGGGCUCGGUGUCUGAUUUGGACGUAAUCGCUGGUGAACAAGCAAUGGGCUCCUAUCUGGAGCCUGUUCAUAUUGGGCUUUUAGACCCAAGGUUGAAAUACAUCUGGUCUGAUUAGGUAAAGGAGCGGCAGACUAAAGUUUUUCAUAACAUUUUAAUUAAGGCUUUUCCUUUCUUUAGGAACAAAUUAAGUAGAUAAUUGUCGCUUUUAGAUCGGCUUUAAAAUAAAGUGAGCCUCGCCUCGCCAAAUAAAACUACAAAUUGUGGGGCCCUCAAUAAAUGGUUAUUGAAACACUUAGAAUUCGGGAGGGCCGUUUAGUGAAUUUUACGGUUUUCCCCAAAAUAAUAUUGCGUUAGACUCUUUAGGCGCGAUUUAAUUAAAUUACUUUUUUAAACUCGGAUGUGUAUUGAUGCGAUCCAAAUCCAAAUCUCGACGAAGUAAAAAUGUGUUAACAACCAUGGGUGCAUUGAUUGCGACGCAGUUCGUGACGUAUUUUCACGACGUUGCAAUUUUUUAAAAUAAUGAUAAAAGCAGUUUAUCAAUAAAAGGCACAUAAGUUAGCAUGUAUUAAAAUCAGAUAAAAUCAAAUUCAAUAGUUAAGUGACCGUGCUAAAAUCACAGAAUCUGGGAAUGCCUAAUACCUUCUCCCGGGUAAAUAGAAUUCUUUAUCCGGAUUUCUGUUUCGCGGACUGUUAACAGAGUCAUAAAUUUUCUCGGUCCGGGAUUGAAUCUGUGACUUGGGAUACCACUAAUUUUUCAAGUGGCAACUCUGAAUUAAUAAUAAUAAAUCUUGUUUCGACUGUCCUUUAAUUGAAAAAAAUGGCUUUACACCCUUGCGGGUGUAGUGGAAAAGGAGGCGUGACAAGCACCAUGCAUUACCUUUUACUUUUCUCUAGUUGAUUUUCUUUUCGCAUUUUUCUUUAAUUUCAAAAUAAGUGCUUCAAUGUUAAAAACACUUAUGCAAUUUAUCAAAGCAUUUCAGUUCCUUAUAAGUAUUGCUCUUAUUAUUUUUUCUAUCAUUUACUUUAUUUACACAGCAAUACUAUUACUUCUUGAUGAACCGACGAUUGUGACUUGCAACGAGACAACGCAACAAACAGAUAUAGACAGAAGAGGAAGAUAUAUCAGAAGAGUUCAUUAAAGAGAUCAAAGAUUUUGAGAAUAGGCAUAUGGCUAAUUUGAAUGACAUUGUCGUCAACCUGGGGGAUAAAAAGAAUGUCAAGGAAACGCGCAUCACUAUUCACCUGUCACCAUCGGAAAAGGAAGAGUACACAAAAUUUCUAAAGGAUUAUGAGGACAUAUUUGCCUGGUCAUAUGAUGAUAUGACCAGUCUCGGCACAUCUAUUACAGCUCACAAAUUGCCAACUGAUUCGACAUGUCCGCCGUAAAGAAGAAGCUCAGAAAGUUCAAACCCGACAAAAGUUUGAAAAUCAAGGAAGAAGUUACCAAAGAAAGUCAAAGCCAAGGUUCUCAAGGCAGUGGAGUAUCCAACAUGGUUCCCCCAUAUUGUGCCAGUGCCGAAGAAGGAUGGGAAUUUUAGAGUCUGUGUUGACUACCAAGAUCUCAACCAUGCCAGUCCGAAAGAUGACUUUCCCUUACCGAAGAUACACAUCCUGAUUGACAACUGCAGUAAGCAUGAGCUGCAGUUGUUCGUUUAUUAUUUUUCUGGGUAUCAUCAUAUAUGGAUGGACGAAGAAUAUGCGGAGAAAAUAACAUUUAGUACGCCAUGGGGAAUAUAUUGUUACAAGAUGAUGUUAUUUGGGUGAAAGAAUGUUGGGGCCACAUACAUUAGGAUCAUGACUACUAUUUUCCAUGACAUGAUACACAAUAAGAUCGAGGUAUAUGUAGAGGACGUCAUCAUCAAAUCCACCAAAAGCCUUUGACCAAAUAGAAGGUACAAUCUGAAACUGAAUCUCGCGAAACGCGCAUUCGGGGUUCCUACCAGGAAUCUGUUUUUGUUCAUAGUGAGUCGUCGAGUAACAUAACUAGAUCCAUAAAAGGUUAAGGUCAUUCAAGAAUUUCCACCGCCAUAGAACAAGAAGGAAGUGAUGAGUUUCCUUGGGAGACUCAACUAUAUUAACCGGUUCAUAGCCCAGUCCACUUUCAUUUCUGAACGUAUCAUUAAAAUGUUGAAGAAGGAUGCCGCUACCAAAUGGAUUGAUAAUUGCCAGAAAGCCUUCUACAGAAUCAAGGAGUACCUGUCGACACUACAAGUUUUGGUUUUGCCCAAACAAUGUAGACCUCUAUUGCUCUACCUUGCAGUAUUGAAUAGAGCAUUCGGUUGUGUUCUGUGGAAACAUGACAAAACGGGGAUAAAGGAGCCGCAAUUUAUUACCUCAGCAAGAAGUUCACCCCAUAUGAGGCCUGGUAUUCUCUAUUAGAGAACACUUGUUGUGCUCUGACUUGGGUAGCUCAGAAGUCGAGACAAUAUUUCUAUGCCUAUACCACUUAUCUCAUAUCAAGAAUGGAUCAUGUAAGGCCUCGAGAAAUCGAGUGCUCAAAUUCGAGCAACUCAUAUAUUCAAGUCCAACUAUGUGUUGGGACUAUGUAAAAAACUAGAGUUAACGUUUUCCAGAAAAGUGUCAUUUUAGCGGGAGAGAAUGCGGUCACAGACCAUGUAUGCGAACUACGUUUCUGCCGCAUAGUUGAUCAGGGAGUUGGUCUAAAUUGAUGUUCGAAGUGCGAUCCAUUAUGACAUCGCAUAAUCGAUAUUCAUGUCGCAUAGUUGUCGCACAACUCCCUCAAGGAUUUGUGAAGGUUAGUUCUGCAGUGCAUUAUACGACGGCAGAAUAAGAAUGCGGACCACAUUCCCAUUGCAUACCCAGGCAGAGAUGUUUAGUGAUUGGGUCAGUUCUGCGGUCCAAUUCGCGAAGCGCAUCCCAAUUCUGCGAUCGCAUAGUGCGACCGCAGAUCUUGCCCGAGCUUCUAUUUUCUAAAAUUUUAAACUCAACCCCCUUGAAUAAAACACCCCAACCCCUCAUUUUAACAUAUUUUCUGAGCAAGUAAUAGAGAGGGGCGAGAGGGUUCUUGAGAGAGAAAGUGUUCUCCAUCAAAUUGAUUCUUCAAAAACUAUCCGGGCUGGGAAAAUUCUAAUUGAUUGUCUUCAUCCCCGCUCAUAGAGAUAAAAUACCUAACCCAUUUUUCCUUGAUUUACAUAUUUUACGUUAAGAUAGGGAAUCUCAUGCAUUUAUUAUUGAAAUAAUGGGUGGAAACUCAAAUGCAUGUCUUUAAAAACCAAAAAUCUUGUAAGGGGAAUUGGGUAGAAGUAAGGGAUUGUGCUUGAUAACCUAAAUAAGCUUGGGUAGUAAUGGUGAACAUCAAUUCUAAGGCACGUGUGUUAAUUUGUGAACGAGAUUGACGUUGCUAGAUUGAUUGGUGAUAGAAAAAUGAGUUGAAAAGGGGAUUCGGCUCCAGGUAUAUAUGGCUAAUUUUUUAUCCUUGUGAAAUCGUCUUUUUUUAUGUACGUAUGCUUGGUAGGUGAUAAGUACGUAAAUUACUUGUGAAUUUCUUGUGAUUGGUACGUUUUGAUUGUGUUAAGUGGUUGUAGUUGAGGAAUAAAUGACUAAAGGAAAUUAAGACUAAUGCAAUUGGAAAUAACUAUUGUAACAAUAUCUAUGGGUUAUCAAAUAUGAUGGAAAUAAUAUUGAUGGUUAUGAGAACACUUGUAAUAUUGUUAAUGUUACUUCGUGGGGAGUAUUGUUGUUCAUCUUUGUGAAUUGUUAUUGUUGUUGUAUUGUUUGUGGAUUGGAAAUGUUCGGUGCGAUCAGGUUACACAUCGCAACACGAAGUUAUAAGGUGCGAGGUGUGGUGAUAAGGGUCGCCGAGGUAAUAAAGGCGGAACAGUGAUUAAAAUCAAUCCUGAAAUAAACAUUUGGGCAAAUUUUUUAAAUCAUUGCUGUGUAAUUGUCAGGGUGGGAAACCAGGAGGGAUUGAAAACUUGUUUAGCUUGAUUGUACUUUUCGUGUAUGAAUUCGUUGUUGCUUCUAUUGUUGUUUUCUACUUGGGUACGGCUUGAGUUUACUUGGGACAAGGUUUGUUCAUGCAUACCAGUACAAUUCAACUGUACUGACGUUCCUAUUUCUGGGGGCGCUACAUUCGUUUAUGAUUGUAGGUGGAUCUAUGGCAGGUACUACAGUCCACUGACCGUAGCUCCUCCUUAUUUCCAAUCAGCUCAAUUGAUGAGCCCCUAUCCUUUCGCGGCGCUGCAUGGCUCAUGGUGCUCAAGUCUUUGUAUUUUAAGGUCUUAUUUUGGUGUUUGUAAAAGGUAUAGCUGGAGCCUUGUUGCCGGCAAGUAUUGUAUUAACUUCCUUCAUCUAUCGAGGCUUCGUACACAUAAAAAGCGGGUCAUAAACUUAUGUAAUAUGUAUUUUGUAUAUUGGGCAAUGUAAGAUGUAAACCACGCUAGGAACCAUGUACUUUGUUUACGUUUUGUAAUGUUGGUGUUUAAAUUAAUCGUAUGGUCAUCUCGUUUGGCUAAUAAGUAAUGGAAGAUGUGGG